UGAGGAAUAUUGGUCAAUGGGCGGAGAGCCUGAACCAGCCAAGUCGCGUGAGGGAAGACGGUCCUACGGAUUGUAAACCUCUUUUGUCGGGGAGCAAUAAAGCGUACGCGUACGCAGAUGCGAGUACCCGAAGAAAAAGCAUCGGCUAACUCCGUGCC
rnacentral:rRNA from 1 species